AUGGCCUGGACCCCUCUCCUGCUUCCCCUCCUCACUCUCUGCUCAGGAUCUUUGGCUUCUGAUGAGCUGACACAGUCACCCUCCAUGUCAGUGUCUCUGGGACAGACAGCCAGGAUCACCUGCUCUGGAGAUGCACUGGCAAAAAAAUAUGCUUCCUGGUUCCAGCAGAAAGCAGGCCAGGCCCCCGUGCUGGUGAUGUAUCAAUAUAGCCAGUGGCCCUCAGGGAUCCCAGAGCGGUUCUCUGGGUCCAGCUCAGGGACAACAGUCACCUUGACCAUCACUGGGGCUCAGGCUGAGGAUGAGGCUGACUAUUACUGUCAGUCAUGGGACAGAAGUAGUGAUCAUCCCACAGUGACACAGGCAGAUGGGGAAGUCUGGGGACACCGGGAUGAACUGGACCAUAGCAGCAAACUUGUCAGGCUAGUCUACUGGCUUCCCUGGCACAACUGUGCAUCCUGA